rnacentral:lncRNA from 1 species
UGACAGAUUCUCACUCUGUUGCCCAGGCUGCUGGAGUGCAAUGGCGUGAUCUCUGCUCACUGCAAGCUCCGCCUCCCAUGUUCAAGUGAUUCUCUGCCUCAGCCUCCCGAGCAGUUGAGAUGACAGGUGCCCGCCACCACCCCCAGCUAAUUUUUGUAUUUUUGAUAGAGAUGGAGUUUCACCAUGUUGGUCAGACUGGUCUCAAACUCCUGACCUCAAAUGAUCCACCCGCCUCAGCCUCCCAAAGUGCUGGAAUUACAGGUGUGAGCCACCAUGCCCGGCCUUUAUACCACUGCUUUAAAAAAAAAAAAAAAAAAAAAAGAUUCUGAUGCUUAGAAAGACCACUGGACAUUGAUCCAACUUUAUUAUUCUUACGCUCUUACUAAAACUUUAACUCAAAAUCUUGGUUUCUUCUAAAUUGUUACCAGGCACUGCUGAAAGGAAGCAUUCAUAGCACAAGGCAGUGACCUAGACAAGGAUUAGGAUUCAUGGGUUUAGAGGCACACUGACCUUCCUUCUCACUUUCAGAAUUGUGUUUAAUAGCUCAGUCUGUUAUCCGCCUGGGCUCCCCAAUGUUAGACUUACGUAUUAUUCACUUGCCCAAAUUUAGGUAACUGGGAUAGUGCUGCUGCUGCUGCUUAAUUAUUUGCACCAAGGUGUCUGAAAAGGUAGCCUACUGAAAGAGCAAGGCUCUUGAGACAAAAUGGUUUCUUCUGACUCUGACACCAAAUAGUUGUAUGACAAUGAGCAAGUUACUUAACCUUUCUGAGCAUUGGUUUUCCUACCUCUAAAGAAUGAGAUACUAAUAUUUAACUCAUAAAUUUUUUAUAAGGGUGAAAGGAGAAGAAUGAAUCACUAGAACCUGGUACACGAGGGAUAAAUCGCUCCUCAUUUGCACACUGACACAUCCCCAGGAAGGUACAUCUUCCAAUUCCUCCUCCCAUGUAGCUCCCAUAUAUGAAAGCUGAAUGAUGAAGGAUUUCUGAACUAGUCACCAAUUGGAAUCCUCUAGCCCUUUCCAUACCACUAUGGUGAAUAAUCUGGACAUGACUCUGAGUAAUUAUUUCAGCCAUACACAGAUGCGUUUUACUAAUCCCCACUAUAAUCAUCCAACUUUCACUGUGAGAAGCAUUUUUCCAUUUGUUGCCUCAUUUGAUCUUCACAACAGCCCCAAGAGAAACACAAGCCAGUGUUGUUAUCCUUCUUUGACAGAUGGGCAAGCAGAGGGUUAGAGAGGUAAAGUGGCUUGUGACACUUCUAGAUUCAGGUAUAUGACUCUGAAUUCCAUCCAUGAGCUUUCUAUUAUACCAAGAAGCCACAGGAUUGUUACCACAUCCUAAAAGACACUAGAUAUUCUGGAAGAAAGAAAACCAGGAAGGUGAAGGCUGAUGGAAAACAGAUGAGUUAGUCCAGCCCUAGCCAUCCCCACUGGGCUCCCACCCAGGCCUUUGCUCAGUGUCCCUCUCUCCCAAGCACUUCUUUCUCAGCCUAUUUGUUUGCUCAGAUCCUCUCUGUGGCCAGUAACAUAGCUCAAACCCAGGCUCCUCCAUGAAGCUGUUGACCAACCAUCCAACCCAGUUCUUCAAUUAAUAUUUACUGAAUGCCCUCCACUGCGCUCCACUGCCCAUGUGGAGUUUUGUUCUAGUGGAAGGAAAUAAUCAAUAAAUUCAAUAGUAAAUAUGUAUGGUUUUGUUUUGUUUUGUUUUGUUUUGUUUCUGAGAAUGGGGUCUCACUCUGUCACCCAGACUGGAGUGCAGUGGCACAAUCACUGCUCACUGCAGCCUCGCCCUCCCAGGCUCAAGUGAUCCUCCCACCACAGCCUCCCAAGUAGCUGGGACUACAGGUGUGUGCCACCAUGCCCUGCUAAUUUUCUUGAUUUUAUUUUUUGUAAAAUGGAGUCUCCUAUGUUGGUUGGUCUUGAACUCCUGAGCUCAAGCAUGAGACCAACCUGGACAACAUAGGAGACCAAAGUGUUGGGACUACAGUCAGGAGCCACCAUGCCUGGCUUGUAUAUUUUUGAUGGUAAUAAAUGUUGAAAAGGAAAAAAAAAAAAAACAGGGAAAGGGGGAUAGGACAUAUAUGAAGGGACAAAUGCAAUCUGAGAUAAGAUGGCUAGGAAAGGCUUCACUGAGCAUCAGACAUUGGAUUAAAGACUGAGAAGAGGUGAAGGCAAGAACCAUUUGGACAUCGAGGAUUCCAGAGGAGAUCCAGGUGGUGAUCAAAGAGGAGACCCUGUUGGCAAAGCUCCCUUCUGGCACUGAUGAACUGGAUGUGAGUAAACUGAGGCUCAGAAGACCGAUAGCCAAUGUAGCAGAGAUAAGAUUUAGAGGCCAGUCUUCUGGCCUCAAAAUCUGUGCUGUUUUUCACCAUGUCUACCAUCUUCUCCAGAUUUCUCAAACCCAUUCUGUGUCCCAUCCACCAACAAAGCCCACACAUUUUAUAUGGCUGGUGCUGGUAUGGAAAAAACUUGAGACUUUUUAAAAAUUCCAUGGCUAUUAGUUUAAUUAUCUCAUCAGUCAGUUAAGGAAGUAUCUCCUUUAUUUAUUGGUGUGUUUCUCAUAUUUAAUGCAUGUUAUUAAUGUAUUAAAUUAAUAAUAGUAAUGCAAAUUAAAACUGUAGCAUCUGGUGUUAAGCGGCAAUGCUUGAUAUACAAACUUAAAUAAAUAAAUAACAUUCUGAAAUAUUUAUUUACCAGUCAUAAUUUUAAAAAUUGUUUAUACUAAAACAUGUUUAUAGUAAAGACUAUCUGCAAAAUUGAAAAUCAGAACUUGUGGGAUUUUUUUGCAGUAAUGCUAAGUCCAGCAUUUGGUUAUAAAUUCUUUGCAUACAUUUUUUUCUUUAAUGUAUGCAUUUUUAAAAUAUAUAUUUUGAUGUUUUAAAUAGAAAACAUGGA